rnacentral:piRNA from 1 species
UCCCUUCUUUAAGUUAUUGUUUAUGUGUGA